rnacentral:misc_RNA from 1 species
UUUCCGUAGGUGAACCUGCGGAAGGAUCAUUACUGAGUUCUGAAUGAAGUUGUUCUGGUCUUCCGGGGCAAGUGAACGCUUCUCUCAAUCCAUCUUACACCUGUGCACCUAUCGGGGAAGACUUGGAUCUAAGUUGGGUCACGACGGCGAUCUACAGUCUCCUCUUUAUACCAAAUAACAGUUUUAGAAAGUCUUUUUUGCUUGAUGCAAACUUAAAUAAAUACAACUUUCAGCAACGGAUCUCUUGGCUCUC